CGCGCACCACGGCCGCUUAUCCAUUCCCAUCCACCACCGCCGGGCACGCGCAGCCGUUUGCCAGGAGCCAAGGAGGCGGGCGUACGCGUUGCCCGACCCCAGGAAGGGGGCGAGGCGUCGCGGCUGGCGUUGGCGAAUCCAUUCCCGGCGGCGGCGGCUUCCGGCAAGGAGGCGAGCGAGCUCGGGGAGCUUCGGCGGGGGCUUGUCGCCGGUGAGGCGAGGCCGAGGCGGCGGCUGGCGGGCGCGAGGAGGCGGGGUCGAUGAGGCGCAGGAGGACGUCGGCCGGUGGCGCUCCGGCGGGGGCUUGGCGAGGGCGACGGCGGUCGCGAGGGCUUGGCGGCGGCCGGCGUGCUCGCUUGGGAGGAUGGAGGCUGCCUCGCCGGGGCUCGGACGCGGCAGCACGGCGUCGGGCCGUUACCGAUGGCGCCGGGGCCGGGGCGGUGGUUUGACGGGCGACGAGGAGGUGGUGCUGUCCUGGAGCCAGCGACGGCGGCUGCAGCUUGACGAUGCGGGCGUCAACAGCUUGCUUCAGGGGCUGCGGGCCGUGAACGGCGUUGUGCUCGCGCGCGAGACCCAUGUCUGAUUUGGAAAGAAUCAAUCCGUUGAAGAAGAAGGCCAAUGCAAUGCUCUCUAGCUAGGCACUGGAGUAUCUGCACCCGCAAUGGAAUGGUACGAAUUGCUGCUGGUACUGAACAUUGACAGUGUGACAUGUCGUGUGAGAUGAAGGUGGCAAACCAUCCAAACUUGAAGCCAAGCAUGUGGUGGAUCCGCCAUGGAUGAUAGAUGGACCGGUGAGUGUAGAAGUUUGAGCUCCUGGUGUAAUUAAGCAUAUGGCUUUUGUGAUGUGUCAUGUAGGUAGUGAUUGCCUAUAUUUCUUUCCCUCUUAAAUUUGUUGUAAUAAGGUUAUCCUUUGCAGAAGGAAGAUUGAACUGCCUUUUGGUUUAGGUAGAAGCACCCAUUGACGUUUUCCAAUUCUUUGUAUUCAUUCUACUAGCACAUACGGGAGAAUUAAUUGAUGUGUCCACCGAAA